CUUCUGAGAAUAUGCAAGAAGGAGAAUCAUCUGCUUCGGAACUACAGUUGACUGCAGACUGCCCUCAUUGGAAGGAAGUUACCACAUGAAGUCAAUAGUUAAGGAGUGGGGAAUUCCAUUUCACCUCCUUGAGGGUGGAGUGCCUACAUAAGUUAUUUGGAAAUCUUCAGCAGUGAGAAAGUUGGGACCUAAAUGAGUAAUGAGUCCAGGGAUUACAGCUGGAAGAUGUAGCUUAUUAACUACAACAGCCUAACGCCAGAGCCCAACUUGAGCAAUUAGAAACCAAACACUCCUGCUGGUGUUUGGACUGAUACAGGUGCUGUGAGUCCAGCAAAGUAUGAAGCAAAAUUCCUGCGGUCAUAAUGCUUAUAUUGAGUGAGAGAGAAUGGAGAUAGGAG